UCUUGGUCAUUUAGAGGAAGUAAAAGUCGUAACAAGGUUUCCGUAGGUGAACCUGCGGAAGGAUCAUUAUUGAAUAAACCUGAUGUGGCUGUUAGCUGGCUUUUCGAAGCAUGUGCUCGUCCAUCAUCUUUAUCUCUCCACCUGUGCACAUUUUGUAGUCUUGGAUACCUCUCGAGGCAACUCGGAUUUUAGGAUCGCUGUGCUGUACAAGUCGGCUUUCCUUUCAUUUCCAAGACUAUGUUUUUAUAUACACCAAAGUAUGUUUAAAGAAUGUCAUCAAUGGGAACUUGUUUCCUAUAAAAUUAUACAACUUUCAGCAACGGAUCUCUUGGCUCUCGCAUCGAUGAAGAACGCAGCGAAAUGCGAUAAGUAAUGUGAAUUGCAGAAUUCAGUGAAUCAUCGAAUCUUUGAACGCACCUUGCGCUCCUUGGUAUUCCGAGGAGCAUGCCUGUUUGAGUGUCAUUAAAUUCUCAACCUUCCAGCUUUUAUUAGCUUGGUUAGGCUUGGAUGUGGGGGUUGUGGGCUUCAUUAAUGAGGUCGGCUCUCCUUAAAUGCAUUAGCGGAACUUUUGUGGACCGUCUAUUGGUGUGAUAAUUAUCUACGCCGUGGAUGUGAAGCAGCUUUAUGAAGUUCAGCUUCUAACCGUCCAUUGACUUGGACAAUUUUGACAAUUUGACCUCAAAUCAGGUAGGACUACCCGCUGAACUUAAGCAUAUCAAUAA
rnacentral:rRNA from 1 species